rnacentral:rRNA from 1 species
GACGUAGGAUGCAAGCGUUGUCCGGAUUUAUUGGGCGUAAAGAGUUCGUAGGUGGUUCGUUAAGUCUGAUGUUAAAGACUGGGGCUCAACCCUGGGAGUGCAUUGGAUACUGGCGGACUGGAGUGCAGUAGAGGCAAGCGGAAUUUCCAGUGUAGCGGUGAAAUGCGUAGAUAUUGGGAAGAACACCGGUGGCGCAAGCGGCUUGCUGGGCUGUAACUGACGCUGAGGAACGAAAGCUAGGGGAGCGAACGGG